rnacentral:rRNA from 1 species
AGUAGACGUUCAGAGUUUGAUCCUGGCUCAGAACGAACGCUGGCGGCAGGCCUAACACAUGCAAGUCGAGCGCCCCGCAAGGGGAGCGGCGGACGGGUGAGUAACGCGUGGGAACGUACCCCUUUCUACGGAAUAGCCUCGGGAAACUGGGAGUAAUACCGUAUAAGCCCUACGGGGGAAAGAUUUAUCGGGAAGGGAUCGGCCCGCGUUGGAUUAGGUAGUUGGUGGGGUAAUGGCCUACCAAGCCGACGAUCCACAGCUGGUUUGAGAGGAUGAUCAGCCACACUGGGACUGAGACACGGCCCAG